rnacentral:rRNA from 1 species
GUACACUCCUACGGGAGGCAGCAGUGGGGAAUUUUGGACAAUGGGCGAAAGCCUGAUCCAGCCAUGCCGCGUGCAGGAUGAAGGCCUUCGGGUUGUAAACUGCUUUUGUACGGAACGAAACGGCCUUUUCUACUAAAGAGGGCUAAUGACGGUACCGUAAGAAUAAGCACCGGCUAACUACGUGCCAGCAGCCGCGGUAAUACGUAGGGUGCAAGCGUUAAUCGGAAUUACUGGGCGUAAAGCGUGCGCAGGCGGUUAUGUAAGACAGUUGUGAAAUCCCCGGGCUCAACCUGGGAACUGCAUCUGUGACUGCAUAGCUAGAGUACGGUAGAGGGGGAUGGGAUUCCGCGUGUGGCAGUGAAAUGCGUAGAUAUGCGGAGGAACACCGAUGGCGAAGGCAAUCCCCUGGACCUGUACUGACGCUCAUGCACGAAAGCGUGGGGAGCAAACAGGAUUAGAAACCCCAGUAGUCCCA